GGAGAGCUGGCCGAGAGGCUGAAGGCGCACGACUGGAAAUCGUGUAUACGAGCUGAACUCGUAUCGAGGGUUCGAAUCCCUCGCUCUCCGCCA
rnacentral:tRNA from 1 species